rnacentral:sRNA from 1 species
AGCAGCCGCGGUAAUUCCAGCUCCAAUAGCGUAUAUUAAAGUUGUUGCAGUUAAAAAGCUCGUAGUUGAAUUUCGGGAUCAAUAUUUCGGUCAUGCCGUUGGUAUGCACUGUUAUAAUUGAUUUCUCACCUUCUAAAGAACCGUAAUGCCAUUAAUUUGGUGUUACGGGGAAUUAGGACUGUUACCUUGAAAAAAUUAGAGUGUUUAAAGCAGGCUCACGCUUGAAUACAUUAGCAUGGAAUAAUGAAAUAGGACAUCCGAUUCUAUUUUGUUGGUUUCUAGGAUCGAUGUAAUGAUUAAUAGGGAUAGUUGGGGGCAUUAGUAUUCAAUUGUCAGAGGUGAAAUUCUUGGAUUUAUUGAAGACUAACUACUGCGAAAGCAUUUGCCAAGGAUGUUUUCAUUAAUCAAGAACGAAAGUUAGGGGAUCGAAGACGAUCAGAUACCGUCGUAGUCUUAACCAUAAACUAUGCCGACUAGGGAUCGG